GAAAAAAAUACAACUACAUAUCAUCUUCCCUCUUUGUUUUCCCCAAACGGUGCUGCCUCGAACCCAAACACGAGCAGUCGGAUAACAAGCGUGGGAAGGCUUUAGGAAGAAUAACCUGAAGAAGCUUCAGUACCUUUCACACGAAUCUCCAGACACAUCUGACCAGCGUUGAAGUUCUUCCUUUGCUGAGUGGAGCCAAUCCGUAUAUUCAUGAACCGCAUCCAGAGCUCCUUGGACGUUUCCGUGAGAUGAUGAAGAGCCCCCGUGUGUUCCUCAGCCUCGGAUACAAUGGCC